AGUCAAUGAACAUUUCUCUUCUUAAGGGAAGUUGGCAAAUACUUGUGAACUUUAUUUAACAUGAUUCUGACGCAUUAGUAUCAUUAUUUUUAGAUAACAAAGUAGAUGGAAACCAUAUAGUAAAAUCUAAAGCAAAAUCUACCCUCUAACCUUUAUGUAAGUGAAAUGCCCUAUUUUCUUGAAGGCGCAGUGAAAGACCAGAAGCACCGGAGUCUGAAGUCAUGCAGGCCUAGCUUAGCGUCCUCCUGCCAAUGCUCUGCUGCAAAGAACACCAGGGACACAUCUGUAAUUGAACAUGUUGGGUUAUUCCUCACCGCAGAGGAAGGAACAUCUCUGGAAGAGCGUGUUAGAAAGAAUGUAUCAUAAGAUUUGGGCUUAAGUUCACAGUAUUGGCCAUGCAGUGAUCCGUAUCACCUGUGACAGUAAUGAAACCACCAAACUCACUGUAGCAUGAGCCUUUUCUUUCCUCUUAUCAAGUGUCAAGGCACAUGCUUGAGUCACCAGAACACCUUCCGGAAUUGUGUCAUGCUCAAGUGUAUCUGGAUUAUGAUUUGGCUGCAUGGUUACUGUUUUCCAGAUAUUUGCAGAAGAAAUGUGAGCUGGAGGAGACUCACUGAAAGCUGGAACUAGAAGGAUGCACACUGCUCAUCCCAGCCAAUUCACUUAUUUUACUGAUGAGAAAACUGAGUCUCAGAGAAGUCACACGCUUGCCCAAAGACACAGCUUGUGGUGGAGGAGUCAACACCAGAACCCUGGUCCAGGACUGCACAAAACCACUUAACAUGUGUAAUAAUGAAGAUAAAAGAUACUUCAAAUUCUGGGAGGUCUAUAAUGUUGGAGCAUAUAUACCACUGAAUCCUUUUAAUAACCCAUCGCUUACACAGAUGGGGAAACCAAGGCUCACGGAAAUAAAGUGACUUGUCCCAAGGUACAAAACUGGUCACCCAUAAAUCUGAUCUCCAGGUUCCCAGUUCAGGACUUUCUUCUGCACCAUCUUUUUGUUCUCUUUAACUACCAGAAGCUUUAAGCCAAAAUGAGACUUCAACUAUAAAGGCUAUUUAAGACCUUAUCGCUGCUGUAUCUCCGCCCUAAGUUUUCUCUUGAUCUUAAUUUUAUAUUCUAAUGUUUAAAACUUGUUCCCAAAAUAUUUUAAGUUUGCAUUCAUUUUUAUUUCAAUAAGCCACACCAAAAUCUGUGUGUCAUAAUCUGGCUAUACAUAAAUAAAUCAACGAAUGAAUGAGCAAACUAACAAAAUCUUAAGAGGCAGAGUAACAUGGUGGAAAAAUACCAAGCUUACAUUCAAUUCAAUACCACUUUGUCUACUGUCUUUGUCUAUGAGCCUCACUUUCAGUAUCUGUCAAACUUGUCAUUAAGCAUUAUUAUGAGUCUAAAAAUAAACAUAGAACAUAUGCAGAA